UCUCUCCAUAUAUCUUUUCUGAGAAAGGGCAGGGCUAUAUAAGAAACUCGUAACAGGAAGACGAUGAAGCAUUUUUAGCACAUUUGUUAUUUUCAGUCUAGUGUAUCCUUGUGGCUAGCCAAUGAUAGUAAUGGCCAGCCUGCCGAACAUGUUUGCUUCAAGUUGAGUCCUACACUUCAGUUAAGGGUUAUACCCAGGAAUCUCUGCAAGCCAUCCUAAAGCCUCUGGAAGAGACUAAAACUGUUGGAAUCCCGAGUGUUGUGAGCUGCACCUACCCAGAAAAACCUGAGAAUGCUCUAGGAAGAUGUGGAACCACUGAAAAGUGAAUGCCUGCCAGAACUCUCCAUGAUGACCUUCACACUUCAUGUUUAAUACGUUCCCUUCAGGCAAGGCCACUGAAACAGAUAAUAGGGUCAAUCUUGUAUAAUUUUACUUAACAGUCUUGAAAGAUAGAUGGUCAGCUGACGCCACACCACAAGUAUCAUUUUGGAGGUCAUAAUCAUGAAAGAAAUCCAUGAUGCUACGAGCCCAGAAAGCUGCCAGCCAUAUACCUAAGGGUCUCACAAAUGCUGAAAUGUCCAUUGAUUAAUGAACUAAAAGAGUAGGAUUGAGACACGCUGAAAGAUCAUAGAUUCAGUGCCUUUCUACUUAAUGCUACCUCCCACCCCCAAGGGAAAUAUAGGGAUACAUUUAGAACUGCUUGCUAAAUAUUUUAAAAAUGGAUGUGAGAUUUAAAACUAAAUAUGGAAAGUGGUGAGGAUUUCAGGAUUUUUAUUUCACAAAAAGAUGGUCUACAUCUUCAGAGGAUUCAGGUGAUCAGAGUAGGCAACAUAACUUGACAGGGUUGGGCACCUGGUGAGGUCCACAACUCUGUAGCAGCUCUUCCUAAUCAUCCCUUGUUGUUAUCAAGAUGAAAAGGGGUGUGUGUGUGUGUGUGUGAAGGCAGCCAAUAAUCAAUCACAUGAUUAUUUUAGCACUCCCUUGGUGACAUCCAUUAUCUGUCCUCAUUCAUGUCUUUCUUUUGAUGGUCCAAAGGUUUUCUUUUCUCCAGAACAGAUCUGCACAACUUGGCCCUUCUGAAGGGCCGAUAUUUUUUUAAAAUUCCUGCAGGUCACUCUUCCUCCCUCCUGCCUGCCUGACCAGGAAAGGAGGAAGGGAAGAACAGUGGCCUGCAGUGCCCAGCGAAAGCCCUAGGCUUCUUUCUCCUUUGCCAGUUGGCCCUUCGCCGGCCUGCCUUUCUGGUCAGGCAGGGAGGCACAGAGCCAACCGCCCAAGGGGAAACCAAGAGAGGCCCUUUGUGGACCACAUCUGACCCGCGGGCCAUAUGCUGUGCAGGCCUGGUCUAGACUGUCCUGAGCUUUCAUGUUCUGUGUUGGACCUGCCUCUUUAACCUCAAAGUGUGCUUUCCACCUAGAUAUGCAGAAUCCCUUAGCUUAGUUUAUCAAUAAUUUAUUACUUUUCUCAGGUUGUUUAUACAGUGGACAAGUAUGAUUUGCUUUGGUGGUUAUAGUAGAAGGAACAAAGCUCCCCCCACACCCACAUAUACUUUCUACCCUUCUAGAGGUAACAUCACAGUACAUUAAAGACAUCAUAUCUCCUUUCAUAUUAAACUGUCUGUCAGUUCUCUUGCUCAAAUGCUGUAAAUCUGCCACAGUAGCUUGUGCUUGGGGAGCUUUCAUUAUGAAAAUAUGAAGAUAAGAACUCAGCUUCUGUGUUACAAGCAGAAAGAUGCCCGGCUGCAAUGAGGUUACUUUGAAAUUAUGUAUUUAUAGCUGUGUGUUUUCUUAACUUUGCCAUUAUCUGUUAGGGCAAUUUUUCAAAAGAUAUCACUGGGUUUAGGAAGUUAUUAUCUCUCUCUUUCUCUCUCUCUCUAUUCAUGGUUUAAAAGCCAGGGGAACAAAGCAUGAAUAUACAGGGCAGUAAAAUGUACUAGCGCAUAUAUUUUAAACUUGCCCAUGCAGUAAAUCAUUAGCUUUUCUCAUUCACUUUAGGC